AGCCAUUAUACGUUAGUUGAAAUGGAACUCUCUUCUCUCUUUCUCCUCUCGUGAUUUCCUAGAAACUCAAAACAAAACAAAGACACGACAUAUCCGCUUUGAAAUCCCAAAUUUAAAAACAAAAUCAAUUCAACCUCAUCAGACAUAGGAUGAGAUGAAAAUCAAAUUCCAGAAACCAAGUUACCCUAAACCCUUUCCAAAGAAUCAAAACUUUCCUAAUUUUGCAGAGCUCGCAAGGGGAGAUUAAGAAAUGCCCCUCUUACCCUUUCCACCUCAGCUUUUCUUUCGAUCAAAAGCGUUGAACUUUCUCCCACAGAGAUGAAAAAUUGGGCAUAUUCACAGCACAUCCAUCUGAGAUUAAUUCGUCAAUCUCAUGUCCUAGAUUGCCUGGGAAACCCAGGUCGAGGAUUAAUCUCCUUGACCCAGGAGAUGAAGCUAGAUAGCAAAAUCA
rnacentral:lncRNA from 1 species